rnacentral:rRNA from 1 species
AUUGAACGCUGGCGGCAUGCUUUACACAUGCAAGUCGAACGGCAGCGCGGGCUUCGGCCUGGCUGCGAGUGGCGAACGGGUGAGUAAUGCAUCGGAACGUGCCCAGUAGUGGGGUAUAGCCCGGCGAAAGCCGGAUUAAUACCGCAUACGACCUGAGGGUGAAAGCGGGGGACCGAAAGGCCUCGCGCUAUUGGAGCGGCCGAUGUCGGAUUAGCUAGUUGGUGGGGUAAAGGCUUACCAAGGCGACGAUCCGUAGCUGGUCUGAGAGGACGACCAGCCACACUGGGACUGAGACACGGCCCAGACUCCUACGGGAGGCAGCAGUGGGGAAUUUUGGACAAUGGGGGCAAGCCUGAUCCAGCCAUGCCGCGUGCGGGAAGAAGGCCUUCGGGUUGUAAACCGCUUUUGUUCGGGAAGAAAUCCUCUGGGCUAAUACCCCGGGGGGAUGACGGUACCGGAAGAAUAAGCACCGGCUAACUACGUG